rnacentral:rRNA from 1 species
UGUUGUUGCUGACGAGUGGCGGACGGGUGAGUAAUGUCUGGGAAACUGCCUGAUGGAGGGGGAUAACUACUGGAAACGGUAGCUAAUACCGCAUAAUGUCGCAAGACCAAAGAGGGGGACCUUCGGGCCUCUUGCCAUCGGAUGUGCCCAGAUGGGAUUAGCUAGUAGGUGGGGUAACGGCUCACCUAGGCGACGAUCCCUAGCUGGUCUGAGAGGAUGACCAGCCACACUGGAACUGAGACACGGUCCAGACUCCUACGGGAGGCAGCAGUGGGGAAUAUUGCACAAUGGGCGCAAGCCUGAUGCAGCCAUGCCGCGUGUAUGAAGAAGGCCUUCGGGUUGUAAAGUACUUUCAGCGGGGAGGAAGGGAGUAAAGUUAAUACCUUUGCUCAUUGACGUUACCCGCAGAAGAAGCACCGGCUAACUCCGUGCCAGCAGCCGCGGUAAUACGGAGGGUGCAAGCGUUAAUCGGAAUUACUGGGCGUAAAGCGCACGCAGGCGGUUUGUUAAGUCAGAUGUGAAAUCCCCGGGCUCAACCUGGGAACUGCAUCUGAUACUGGCAAGCUUGAGUCUCGUAGAGGGGGGUAGAAUUCCAGGUGUAGCGGUGAAAUGCGUAGAGAUCUGGAGGAAUACCGGUGGCGAAGGCGGCCCCCUGGACGAAGACUGACGCUCAGGUGCGAAAGC